GAUGAACGCUGGCGGCGUGCCUAAUACAUGCAAGUCGAGCGAACGGACGAGAAGCUUGCUUCUCUGAUGUUAGCGGCGGACGGGUGAGUAACACGUGGAUAACCUACCUAUAAGACUGGGAUAACUUCGGGAAACCGGCGCUAAUACCGGAUAAUAUUUUGAACCGCAUGGUUCAAAAGUGAAAGACGGUCUUGCUGUCACUUAUAGAUGGAUCCGCGCUGCAUUAGCUAGUUGGUAAGGUAACGGCUUACCAAGGCAACGAUGCAUAGCCGACCUGAGAGGGUGAUCGGCCACACUGGAACGGAGACACGGUCCAGACGCCUACGGGAGGCAGCAGUAGGGAAUCUUCCGCAAUGGGCGAAAGCCUGACGGAGCAACGCCGCGUGAGUGAUGAAGGUCUUCGGAUCGUAAAACUCUGUUAUUAGGGAAGAACAGAUGUGUAAGUAACUGUGCACAUCUUGACGGUACCUAAUCAGAAAGCCACGGCUAACUACGUG
rnacentral:rRNA from 1 species